rnacentral:rRNA from 1 species
GGACCAAUUUGUUGGUCGUGCCUCGGUACGUACUGGUAUUAUUGGUUUCUCCCUUCUGAAGAACCUUGAUGUCAUUAAUUUGGUGUCUUGGGGAAUCAGGACUGUUACUUUGAAAAAAUUAGAGUGUUUAAAGCAGGCAUACGCUUGAAUACAUUAGCAUGGAAUAAUAAAAUAGGACGGCAUGAUUCUAUUUUGUUGGUUUCUAGGAUCGAUGUAAUGAUUAAUAGGGAUAGUUGGG